rnacentral:tRNA from 1 species
GGGCCAGUGGUUUGAGCGUGGUGCUGACAAGGACCAACACCGAGGGUGCGGGUUCGAUUCCCGCUUGGUCCC